rnacentral:tRNA from 1 species
GACCGUGUAGCUCAGUUGGCAGAGCAUUGGGCUAGUAUUCCAAAGGUUGUAGGUUCGAUUCCCACCGUGGUCA